rnacentral:misc_RNA from 1 species
AAGUUAGAGUAGUCUUUUCCUUUAUCUUUUUAUUUGUGAUGUUGGGUAUACUGGAGUUUAGGGUAUUGAAACAUUCUCUUUUGAAUUUGUACAUUCAUUGAUUUAUUAAUGAAUUUAAGUUCUCCAUUGACUGGCGACAUAGGCACUGAUGAAAGUGCUGAAUCACAUUCUAGUUUUUUCCUCUCUUUUUUCCUAUAUCGCCAAAACCGAUUCUGGUUCUGUCAACCUUUAUGUAUUUGUAUGUAUAGUUUGUUUUAUAGUUAUCCACAUGAAAAUAUGAUCUUCUUGUAUGAAUUUCAGGUCCCAAAUGGCAUAGGAAGUAUU